GUAACGCGGAGCUUGCUUUCGGUCAUGGAAGUUGUGCGACAAUGAGGCUUGGAAAGGUGCAGACCUAAACCCAUGACGAGAGGAGGCCAAUCCUUUCGCGGUAAGUUCUGUUUUGCAGAACUUUCUCCUGUUUCGAUUUUAUCAGAUUCUUGCAUAUGACACACAUGGCUAUAAGUUUGCGGAAUAUUAUAUUUUUGUCUGACUGCUUAAUGAAAUGAGUAACCGAGUUAAUCGAUUUGCUAUGUCAUUUAAGGAUCAUCACAGGCACACUUGAUGAAAAGACAGACUCCCAUGACUCCCAUAUCGAAGGCAUUUCCCCUUGGUAUGGAUAUGACUCUUGAUUUGUGGGUUUAUGGUUUCUUUUUGUUUUCCAUCUGCAGUCCUUUGCAUAAUACAUAAUUAUGGCUCUCCGCUAUUUUUCCCGCAGUGGGCCAUGUAACCUAUUUUUGCUGUCUUGUGGGUGAGAAGAAAGACAAAUAUAGGAUGAUUCAUGACCUA